AUUGAACGCUGGCGGCAGGCCUAACACAUGCAAGUCGAACGAGUGGCGGAAGGGUGAGUAAUGUCUGGGAAACUGCCUGAUGGAGGGGGAUAACUACUGGAAACGGUAGCUAAUACCGCAUACCAUCAGAUGUGCCCAGAUGGGAUUGGCUAGUUGGUUGGGUAACGGCUCAUCUAGGCGACGAUCCCUAGCUGGUCUGAGAGGAUGCCCAGCCACACGGGAACUGAGACACGGUCCAGACUCCUACGGGAGGCAGCAGUGGGGAAUAUUGCACAAUGGGCGCAAGCCUGAUGCAGCCAUGCCGCGGGUGUGAAGAAGGCCUUCGGGUUGUAAAGUACUUUCAGCGGGGAGGCGUUACCCGCAGAAGAAGCACCGGCUAACUCCGUGCCAGCCGCCGCGGUAAUUC
rnacentral:rRNA from 1 species